rnacentral:rRNA from 1 species
AGUGAACGCUGGCGGUAGGCCUAACACAUGCAAGUCGAACGGCAGCACAGUAAGAGCUUGCUCUUACGGGUGGCGAGUGGCGGACGGGUGAGGAAUAUAUCGGAAUCUACUUUUUCGUGGGGGAUAACGUAGGGAAACUUACGCUAAUACCGCAUACGACCUACGGGUGAAAGGAGGGGAUCUUCGGACCUUGCGCGAUUGAAUGAGCCGAUGUCGGAUUAGCUAGUUGGCGGGGUAAAGGCCCACCAAGGCGACGAUCCGUAGCUGGUCUGAGAGGAUGAUCGGCCACAUUGGAACUGGGCCACGGUCCAGGCUCCUACGGGAGGCAGCAGUGGGGAAUAUUGGGCAAUGGGCGGGAGCCUGAUCCAGCCAUACCGCGUGGGUGAAGAAGGCCUUCGGGUUGUAAAGCCCUUUUGUUGGGAAAGAAAAGCAGCAGGUUAAUACCCCGCUGUUCUGACGGUACCCAAAGAAUAAGCACCGGCUAACUUCGUG